rnacentral:rRNA from 1 species
GAUGAACGCUGACAGAAUGCUUAACACAUGCAAGUCAACUUGAACUUCGGUUUGGGUGGCGGACGGGUGAGUAACGCGUAAAGAACUUGCCUCACAGCUAGGGACAACAUUUGGAAACGAAUGCUAAUACCUGAUAUUAUGAUUAUAUGGCAUCGUAUAAUUAUGAAAGCUAUAUGCGCUGUGAGAGAGCUUUGCGUCCCAUUAGCUAGUUGGAGAGGUAACAGCUCACCAAGGCGAUGAUGGGUAGCCGGCCUGAGAGGGUGAUCGGCCACAAGGGGACUGAGACACGGCCCUUACUCCUACGGGAGGCAGCAGUGGGGAAUAUUGGACAAUGGACCGAGAGUCUGAUCCAACAAUUCUGUGUGCACGAUGAAGUUUUUCGGAAUGUAAAGUGCUUUCAGUUGGGAAGAAAAAAAUGACGGUACCAACAGAAGAAGUGACGGCUAAAUACGUG